CAGUUACCAAAUUUUUUGACAAAAUGUAAAACUCCCAGAUACAUAAUAUGACAAGUAGGCUCGAAAGAAAGAGGGCGUUUAUUUACGCCAGUUCCCCAAAUCCUAUUCACUUCCGUUAUUGAACCCUAGAUCUUCCCAGCUACUAUUAAACUCUCCUUCCUUUCUGCACAUGAAGACUCAGGGGGAUUAUUAAUUUUAAUACUCAUAACUCCUGAAGAUUUAAUGAUUGAGAGAGAAA